AUGAUUGCGGGCGUGCCGAUGCUGGUGUGGCCACUGUACCCGGAGCAGCGGAAGAACCGGGUGUUCCCGGAGAAUGGUGGAGGGGUACGACCACGAGGGGGAGGUGGUGGAUGCCGGCGAGGUGGAGAAGAAGGUGCGGUGGCUGAUGGAGUCCGACGGCCGGAGCGUGCUCCGGGAGCGCAUGCUGGCGGCCAUGCGAAGGGCCAAGGAGGCGUUGGUCGGACGUGA
rnacentral:rRNA from 1 species